UUUAAAUGACCAAAUUAUUUCAAAAACCAUAAUACAAAGUAAUAUUUACAGACCCAUUUCUAGAAUCUCAAAGUUCUACUUACAAAUCAUGAUUUCAAGACAAACCCAAGUAUAGAGAUGAAGAAUAAUAAAAACCUAAACUAAGGGAAAGAAAAACCUAGUAAAAUGAUGAAUAAUCUGCUACUGGAGUGUUGCAGAAGGCAUCCUCUGCUGUUGCAAAACUUGAUCUCACAUGCUCCUCUUCCUUCCUCUCUCUCUUGCAAAAUCUAUCAUCUUUUCUCCUUUUUUAAAGAAAGAGAAAAAUGUGUUUAUAUAUGGUGCAGAGGUCUGCCCUAGAAUGAGUUAAAAGACAGAAGAUUCUGAAGAAAAUGAUAUAUUCAAUCAGAGGGACGAAAGUGCCACGUCAGUAAUUUUCAUUAAAACGUCACAAGCUGAGUCAGUUGUGUUGCGCCUUGUUUUGCAAGUUGUGUAACUUUCUGUCUAAGAAAAACUUCAUAUUUGACAAUGACACAACCUACGACAUAAGCUGUGUCAUAGGUUGUGUAACUUUCUGUAUCUUUAAAACUCAACUUUAAAUUUUCUUUUUGAAAUUUUACAAUUCAAUUCUAAUUUCCUCUAAAUAGUUAUUGUUAAUUUAAUUAUUUUCUUUUUGUUCUUAGUA
rnacentral:misc_RNA from 1 species